rnacentral:ncRNA from 1 species
AAUAAAUUUUUAUGGUUUAGGUAAUUUAUUUUAAAUUUAUUUUACAUAUAAAUUUUAGUGAAUAUUUUAUUUUAAUAAUAAAAUGUUUAUUAUUAGUAGUAAUUAAUAUUAAAAAUUUAAGAAAUUAAGAUUUAGUAAUAUAAAAAUUAAAAACUAAUUUUGUGCCAGCAGUUGCGGUUAAACAAAAUUUAAAAUAAAUUUUUUUAGUUGUUAAUUUAUAAAAAAAAAAAUAAAAUUAAUUAAAAAUUUAAAUUAUUAGGUGAAAUUUUAAUUUAAUAAAAAAUUAAAUUUUUAUUUAUGAUAAUUAAUAAAUUUUAAAAAAAAACUAGGAUUAGAUACCCUAUUAUGAAAAAUUUAAAUUUAAAAUACUAAAAUAGUAAUUAAUUUUUUAUUGAAACUUAAAUAAAUUGGCGGUAUUUUAGUUCAUUUAGAGGAAUCUGUUUAAUAAUUGAUAUUCCACGAAUAAAUUUACUUAAUUUAAUAAUUUGUAUAUCGUUGUUAAAAAAAUAUUUUAAAAUAAUAAUAAUAUUUAAAAAUUUAAAUUUAAAAUUAAAUCAGAUCAAGAUGCAGUUUAUAAUUAAGAAUAUAAUGGAUUACAAUAAAUUUAUUUAAAUGAAUAUGAAUUUGUAAAAAUUUAUUAAAGGUGGAUUUAAAAGUAAUUUUAUUUAAUUUUUUAAAAUGAUUAAAAAUUAAAAUAUGUACAUAUUGCCCGUCACUUUCAUAUAUAAGUUGGAAUAAGUCGUAACAAAGUAGAGGUACUGGAAAGUGUUUCUAGAAUGCU